GCGCGAAACUUUAUGUUUCGUCGCUACUCUAGAGGGACUUGUGUGUUUAACACAGGAAGCUUGAGGCAAUAACAGGUCUGUGAUGCCUUAGAUGUUCUGGGCUGCACGCGCGCUACACUGACACGAUCAACAAGUAUUUCCUUGCCCGGUAGGGUUAGGGUAAUCUUUUGAAAUCGUGUCGUGCUAGGGAUAGACGAUUGCAAUUAUUCGUCUUCAACGAGGAAUUCCUAGUAAAUGCAAGUCAUCAGCUUGCGUUGAUUACGUCCCUGCCCUUUGUACACACCGCCCGUCGCUCCUACCGAUUGAGUGAUCCGGUGAGCUGUCCGGACUGCGAUUAGUUCAGUUUCUGUUCUCUUCGCGGGAAGUUCUGCAAACCUUAUCACUUAGAGGAAGGAGAAGUCGUAACAAGGUUUCCGUAGGUGAACCUGCGGAAGGAUCAUUC
rnacentral:ncRNA from 1 species